UCUGGGAACCAAGCGGAGAGGAGAGGGGAAGGAGUCUGACAGAGGCACCAUGACAAUUAAUUAGCAAUAAAGUGUAUAUUUUCUCAGUUACGACUGGCUACAGUGUUCCUAAAGUGCACCGUCACCUGAAUGAUGAUCAAAAAAUCCAAAUAACCUUUGAGCUUUGUACAUUUUUAUUUUGUGGGUGGUGUUGGAUCAGCGUGCUGAUCAUGUGACUGAUCUGGACCCUCUGAAUGAGCAGGAGUUCUGUCUUUGUUAGAAGCUUCCUUUCAGACAGAAAAGCAAGAGGCUGAUGUGAUGCAUGACAGGAGAGAACAGAAACCAACACGGAACUGGAUCCAAUGAUCAACUGCAUUAAAUUAUCCAUAUGUAACCUCCAGAAAAUGUCAACACAACAUCUUAUCUGAGCUGAACUCUGUCCAUCAGGUCUGAAUGGGAACGCGAUGCUGUUUUCUGCAGCAUUCCAGGAAACGUUGGUUCCUCUUGAACAUGACUGCAGCCUUUGUUUGGGAGGCAGAAAGGAGGAAAGGAACUGUGUCAGUGUGCAGCAGCUUGGAUGGAGUUCAUCUGUUAGAUAAUAGGAGGAGGAGGCAUCAGGGUUUUUGUGAAUAGAAAUUGGAUCCAAAAGUCAAGGCUCAGCAGACAGAAGGAUUGUGGACUCUGGCAGAUGUGAGUGUCCAGAGGUCACUCACAAAAGGGGAAAGGGAUUGGAGGAAAUUGUGAGGAAACAAGUGAAGCUGAAGAGAGAGCAGCUCUUGAAGCCUCAUUUGGGAAAGUCUGCGGGAGUGAGUCAGCCGUGAUGUUUACCAAAUGAAGCUGCAGUUUUCCAUGCGUCUGCCGUGACCUAGUCCAGCUUCAUCACUUCCCCUUUUCUCCAGCUGUUUGCAUUAUUGUCCCUGUUUCCACUUUUCACGCUGUUUUAGAGAACCUUAGAGAACUUUAGAGAACCUUACCCAGAGAUAAAGAGACUAUUAUCAGAAAAUGACAACAAUGAUCUCAGCUAAAGAGGUAUUUUAGUACAUAAUGUACCCCGCCACCAUGUUUCUUGUUCAAGUCGCUGUAAAAAC
rnacentral:lncRNA from 1 species